rnacentral:rRNA from 1 species
GACGAACGCUGGCGGCGUGCCUAAUACAUGCAAGUCGAACGAAAGCGACCGGUUCUUGCCCUGGUCCAUCUAGUGGCGAACGGGUGAGUCACACGUGGGUACCCUGCUCAUCAGAGGGGGGUAACAUCCGGAAACGGAUUCUAAAACCGCAUAUGUCUGCGAGCCUCAUGGCUUGAAGGGGAACACGGUCGCAAGCUUCUGCUGGUCGAAUGACCUGGGGUGCGUUAGCUAGUUGGUGCGGUAACGGCUCACCAAGGUCGUCGUGCAUAAUCGGCCUGCGAGGGUGAUCGGCCACACUGGGACUGAGACACGGUCCAAACUCCUACGGGAGGCAGCAGUGGGGAAUCUUCAGCAAUGGACGCAAGUCUGACGCAGCAACGCCGCGUGAGUGAAGAAGGUUUUCGGAUUGUAAAACUCUGUUGUUAGAGAAGAACGGGUGCGAGAGUAACGGUUAGCGUUUUGACGGUAUCAAAAGAGAAAGCAACGGCUAACUACGUG